rnacentral:rRNA from 1 species
UACGUAGGGCGCAAGCGUUGUCCGGAAUUAUUGGGCGUAAAGAGCUCGUAGGCGGUUUGUCGCGUCUGCUGUGAAAACUCGAGGCUCAACCUCGGGCUUGCAGUGGGUACGGGCAGACUAGAGUGCGGUAGGGGAGACUGGAAUUCCUGGUGUAGCGGUGGAAUGCGCAGAUAUCAGGAGGAACACCGGUGGCGAAGGCAGGUCUCUGGGCCGCAACUGACGCUGAGGAGCGAAAGCAUGGGGAGCGAACAGG